rnacentral:rRNA from 1 species
AUUGAACGCUGGCGGCAUGCCUUACACAUGCAAGUCGAACGGCAGCACGGGUGCUUGCACCUGGUGGCGAGUGGCGAACGGGUGAGUAAUACAUCGGAACAUGUCCUGUAGUGGGGGAUAGCCCGGCGAAAGCCGGAUUAAUACCGCAUACGAUCUACGGAUGAAAGCGGGGGACCUUCGGGCCUCGCGCUACAGGGUUGGCCGAUGGCUGAUUAGCUAGUUGGUGGGGUAAAGGCCUACCAAGGCGACGAUCAGUAGCUGGUCUGAGAGGACGACCAGCCACACUGGGACUGAGACACGGCCCAGACUCCUACGGGAGGCAGCAGUGGGGAAUUUUGGACAAUAGGCGAAAGCCUGAUCCAGCAAUGCCGCGUGUGUGAAGAAGGCCUUCGGGUUGUAAAGCACUUUUGUCCGGAAAGAAAUCCUUGGCCCUAAUACGGUCGGGGGGAUGACGGUACCGGAAGAAUAAGCACCGGCUAACUACGUG